AUGGAUUCCAGAAUGCAAUUCCUCAGACUCCAUUAUUCCCGGUCAGACGCUCAGAAGAGAAAAACAGGAACCGGUGCGGCGCUCCAGGACGGCGGCCAUCUGGAGGAUCCUGCAGCGCCGCAACGACCCCCUCGGGCCUGGACAGACGCCCUCACUCCGUCAUCCCGACAGGAACCGGUGCGGCGCUCCAGGACGGCGGCCAUCUGGAGGAUCCUGCAGCGCCGCAAGACCCCCUCGGGCCUGGACAGACGCCCUCACUCCGUCAUCCUCCCCGGUGAAGCGUCCUUCCUCAAACUGUCCAUCACUAACAAAGUCAGGUCCUUCACGAAACUAAAGUCCCCGUCUGUAUUUAAAGGGAAAGCUGGUAAGACUUCUGAUGCCAAAUCCAGCAUUGACCUUAAAGACGAGGCCGAUGAUGUGUACAUGUGCAAGGACUCUCCUUCUUCAGACUUCAAGCAUGUGUUUAGGAAUAAAGCCAAGAGACAUUCGUUUGCAGGACACACUGCAGACUUCUACUGUUCGUUUGAGGACAUCGCCCCCGCUGGAACCCCAGACAACGUCCAGCAGGAGACCAAAGACACCGUUAGCAACCAAAACGGGUGUAAAUUCUCAGAAAGAGUCGUUUAUACGAAGAAAUCUCACCCCAGCUUCUCAAACUGCAACAAUUCAUCUGCGACGGAGCAGGAAGACUGCUGUGCGAAGCAAAGCCUCAAGAUACCUCAAAGAAGUCGCUGGUCCAAGAGGGGGGACGUUUUGAAUUACUUGAGAAGAAUUUCCCUCAAAGGAAAAGGAAAUCAGACGUUGGGAGAGAGUAGUUUUGAGUCGAUGAAUGCCCUGGACAAAACCAUUGAUUCUGACUACGGCUCGGUCAACUUUGAACUGGUCAAGGAUUUGAACUCUGCACCUGAACAAACAGGGAUUGAUGGCAAAAGCAGCCACUUUCGAGGCCUUCUCAGAUUUUUCAACACUGUGGCUGAGACUGCAAUGAAAUGGAGAAACUCGUCCCGCCAAAACGGGUGUAAAUUCUCAGAAAGAGUCGUUUAUACGAAGAAAUCUCACCCCAGCUUCUCAAACUGCAACAAUUCAUCUGCGACGGAGCAGGAAGACUGCUGUGCGAAGCAAAGCCUCAAGAUACCUCAAAGAAGUCGCUGGUCCAAGAGGGGGGACGUUUUGAAUUACUUGAGAAGAAUUUCCCUCAAAGGAAAAGGAAAUCAGACGUUGGGAGAGAGUAGUUUUGAGUCGAUGAAUGCCCUGGACAAAACCAUUGAUUCUGACUACGGCUCGGUCAACUUUGAACUGGUCAAGGAUUUGAACUCUGCACCUGAACAAACAGGGAUUGAUGGCAAAAGCAGCCACUUUCGAGGCCUUCUCAGAUUUUUCAACACU
rnacentral:lncRNA from 1 species